rnacentral:lncRNA from 1 species
CCGAAAAUCUUCGUGCGCUUGCGCCCCCUGAGAUGUUUUAACGGUAGAGUUGAGAACUUAUUGCCGAACAUUAGAGAGUUACCGAUGUCGACAUGAUCCUGGCUGCAUUCACCUUCCGAGUAACACUGUCUUCGAAAUGCAAAACACAGUGUUUGUACGCACAGGGAAAACCUGAAAAACUGGGAAAACUCAGGGAGUUUUUUACAGCAGAGAGAAGUCAGGGAAUUUCGAAAAUAGGACUGGAAUUUUAAGUUUCUUGGAGAAAUUCGUUCUUAUACGUACAUUACUUGAUAUCAAACCUACUUUCUUUUUUUUCUUACUGAAAAUCGCUGGCUGUUGUUUGUAAAUUAGUAGUCGGACAGUAAAUUAAUUACUAGGCUGGAACACCUCGAAAAGUCAGGGAAUUUCGGGUUCCAAAAAGCGUACAAACCCUGAAAACAGUGAUUUAAUUGAAGUAUAGGUACCCGAGAGCAGAAUGUAUACAUAGAUCAUAAAUAAUAAUAGAUCAGAUGUAAUAAUGAUGCUGAGACCAAGAAAAGAAAUAGUGAGCAAGCGUCCAGCAGGUAUACGAGCGGUUUUUUGAAGUUUUCAACCAGUUUUUUGAAGAGUCUGAACCAGUUUUUUGAAGUUUUGAACCAGUUCUUUGAAGAUCUGAAGGGCAACUCUAUGGACCAGGAAUCGCCGAUUAGCAUAUUAAUGCGAUGGAAAUUGCGACCUGCACCUUUCCGGCCGCACGACAAAUGCAUACUGGAGACGCCUCGGUGAAAUGCUUGUACCAGGCAUAAUAUAACAUGUAUCCUAAUAAAAAAAUUCGAGAAGACUGUUGAAAUACAU